rnacentral:rRNA from 1 species
UUCUAUUAGAAAUAAUUAAUAGUAUAAUCUGCUCAAUGAUAUUAAAUAGCCGCUAUUACUGUGCUAAGGUAGCAUAAUCAUUUGUCUUUUAAUUGAAGACUAGAACAAAAGAUUGAACAAUUUAAUUAAUAUAGAAAAUUAAAAAUUCAAAUUUAUUUUAAAAGUAAAAAAACUUUUAUAUUAAAGGAAGACGACAAGACCCUAUUAAACUUAACUUUAGUUUAACUGGGGCAGUUAAUCAAUUAUUAUUUUAAUAAAAAUUAAAAAAUAAAUGAUCCAAUAAAAUUGAUUAAAUGAUCUAGUUACUAUAGGGAUAACAGCGUAAUAUUAAUCUAAAGAUCUUAUUUAAAUAAAAGUUUGCGACCUCGAUGUUGAAUUAAUAACCUAAAUUGUUGCAGUAAGCAAAUAAAGGUAGUCCGUUCGACUAUUAAAAAAUUACA